rnacentral:rRNA from 1 species
ACUCCUACGGGAGGCAGCAGUGGGGAAUAUUGGACAAUGGGGGCAACCCUGAUCCAGCCAUGCCGCGUGUGUGAAGAAGGCUUUCGGGUUGUAAAGCACUUUCAGUGAGGAGGAAAACCGUACGACUAAUACUCGUAUGGCUUGACGUUACUCACAGAAGAAGCACCGGCUAACUCCGUGCCAGCAGCCGCGGUAAUACGGAGGGUGCAAGCGUUAAUCGGAAUUACUGGGCGUAAAGCGCGCGUAGGUGGUUUGAUAAGCGAGAUGUGAAAUCCCCGGGCUUAACCUGGGAACUGCAUGUGAUACUGGUGGUGCUAGAAUAUGUGAGAGGGAAGUAGAAUUCCAGGUGUAGCGGUGAAAUGCGUAGAGAUCUGGAGGAAUACCGAUGGCGAAGGCAGCUUCCUGGCAUAAUAUUGACACUGAGAUUCGAAAGCGUGGGUAGCAAACAGGAUUAGAUACCCUGGUAGUCCACGCCGUAAACGAUGUCUACUAGCCGUUGGGGUCCUUGAGACUUUAGUGGCGCAGUUAACGCGAUAAGUAGACCGCCUGGGGAGUACGGCCGCAAGGUUAAAACUCAAAGGAAUUGACGG